GGGUAUCCUAGAUUGACAUUCAUCUAUUAGAAAUGAAGCUUGUCGAUCUUCAACUCUUGAAGUCUUGUGCUCUCACUGAUCUCCAUCAAUGAUGUGAACUCUUUUCUUCUUGUAAUUUUCAUUGAAGCCAAUUACAUUAAAUACCCUUGACAUGCGAAGGUGAAAAUACAAAAAAAAUGAGCGUGUAAGCCCAAAUAAAUGAAUUUAUAACCUAGGACUAAUUAUAACAAUUUUAUAAUACGUUCUCUUUGUAAAUAAUAAAAAUAAUUAUUACAUUCUCAUAAAAUAAAAGUAAAUAAACCAAUCACAUAGGUCAAUCUAAGUCCAUGAUCAUUCUUCAUGCAUUUUCAUAUUCAACUCUUGAAUAAAACAUAAAUUUUAAAUAUCUAAUAUUAAAAAAAUAAUUAUUUUCCUUUUUGAAUCUCAUUUAAAAACAUGUUAUUUUGGUUCGGAUUAUGAUUAAUCACUUUAACCAUAAAAAAAAAUUAAGAAAAAUUAAAAAAAUUUAAAAAAUAGCACUUUUGAGCAGAACAUUGCAUGACAUGCCCCAUAUUAUGCGACACGGCUUAGGCCGUGUUCUACAACAUGGCCCCUGUUUUAUAACACGCCCCAUAUUGUGGAGCAUGCCUACCGCGUGUUUUUCUCCAGAAUUUCAAAAUUCAGCAGAAUGUUACACGGUUCGUGUUUUAGAACAUGUCCCAGGCCAUGUAACAGGUUUGGAGCUCAAAAAUUUUUUAAUUUUAACAUUCCAAAAUGAGUUGAUUCCCAACCAACAUAUAACAUGAAAUAAAUUUCCUAAUAGCAAAAUAGGGAGGCUUUGAUACCAAUUGAAAGAAAAAAAAA
rnacentral:misc_RNA from 1 species